rnacentral:lncRNA from 7 species
CAUAAUAUUGAAUUAAAUGUCAAAUUAUUAUUAAAUACAUUCUCCACAAUCACUACAAUUAUGAACCAAUAACUCAGGAACAUUCCACACCACACAGCAGUACGCUAAAAAUACAUUUGCUUUCAGAUGCGAUUUUAGACGGCAGAGCAGUUUCUUUGUAACUCACACCUGAACUUCAGAGUCCUUGCCCACCACAGUAAUCAUUAAUCAAAUUACAAGUUUGCUCCUAGGUAUGUUCAUAGCUCAGCCAUAUAGAGAUAUCUUACGAUUGCUGUUUCGUAUAGAGAAAUAAAAGGUUUUACAUAACUGUGCUUGAUUUUUUCAGAAAUAAAAUAGAAUAGGAGGUUUUGUUUGCACUGAAGGAUGAGAUUUCCCUCUGGAUUUGCUGCCCUCUAGAUAUCUUUCAGUAUAAAACUACUCUGUUUUUUAAAUGGAUUUUGCAAUAAUCUGCUUUAGCUAAAAACACAAUGAGGAGGGAAUAAACAAGUACAAAGGCAGGGAAGAGGCAGUGUUUGAAUGGUUUGUCAAGCUACUUUUUUUUUUUUUUUUUUUUUUUUUUACAAAGAUAAGAAGUCUUAAGAUGAUGCCAGUUGUCCAAGAGGAGGGGGCUGGAUACAAGCAUCUAUGUGCAUCAAGUCAGUGCUAGAGAGCACUGCUGGUGGUUGCCAUCGCAUCACAGUAUGCCCCAUUUCCUGUAUGUAGCAGUGACAUUAUCAGCAUGUUUUUCCCCCCACAUACUGCUCCGCCAGUGGACUUCAAUGCUGAUGUAAGAAAACAGAAGUGGUAUUUCUUCCUCAAAACUCCCUCACUCUUUGUCUGUUGGGUAAUACAGCUCUGCAAAGCUUUUUCUAGUGAUGCUACUCACUAGGCUGGCAGUGCCACUCCAAGACAUUUCAGAUUUAUUUUCAUUCUCUGCUGCAGGAGACCGUUUCAGAGAUUGUGACAGGAAAGAAUUCAGCAAAUAAUGUGUUUCCCACCUCUGCAGUCAUCGUGAUUAUUCUGCAGGUUUUAUCUCUUAACCCAUUUCUUUCCAAGUACCGAAUGCAGUGACGAUGGUCUUACUGCACUGAUGACUGUGAUUCAGAUUCUUAGUGGGAUUUCUAUGUUUUCAGAAGGAAGGCAGGCAAGAAGAGAUGCUACCACCCAGAUCUGUGAAGACUGGAAUUGUCCAGAGGAUUGGAGCAAAAGAGUAUUUUCAUUUCCAUAGAUGUUUGUGUGUGUGCUGUAAAGUUAUGAUGUUUUAUCUGGAGAAGG